CGGGACGUGGCGCAGUCCGGUAGCGCACCGCAAUGGGGUUGCGGGGGUCCCCGGUUCGAAUCCGGGCGUCCCGA
rnacentral:tRNA from 1 species